CUGUCAACAUACUUCCAAUUGAGCGUUUUGAGGACAUCAGUCUUUUAUAUGGAGAUAAACAUGAACCCACCCCACAUCCCACAUGGAAGUUCUGAAGGUAUACCUCAGGCUCAGCUUAGCCCAGUUCUGGAGGCCAAAAGUCCCAGAUCAAGGUCCUGCAGAGUUGGUUCCAGGUGGUUCCCUGAGAAGCUAAGGGGAGAGAAGAUUUAGACGUUACUAGGAUUUGUUCUUCAAGACGCUGUAUCCAGGCGGAG